rnacentral:misc_RNA from 1 species
GAUGAAGAACGUAGCGAAAUGCGAUAAGUAAUGUGAAUUGCAGAAUUCAGUGAAUCAUCGAGUCUUUGAACGCACAUUGCGCCCCCUGGUAUUCCGGGGGACAUGCCUGUCCGAGCGUCAUUGCUGCCCUCAAGCACGGCUUGUGUGUUGGGCCGUCGUCCCCCUCCUAGGGGACGGGCCCGAAAGGCAGCGGCGGCACCGCGUCCGGUCCUCGAGCGUAUGGGGCUUCGUCACCCGCUCCGUAGGCCCGGCCGGCGCUUGCCGACGACCAUCAAUCUCUUUCUCCAGGUUGACCUCGGAUCAGGUAGGGAUACCCGCUGAACUUAAGCAUAUCAAUAAGCGGAGGA